CCUUGUGAGUUGAAGUCAAUUGUGUCAUUUAAGCUCACAAGUAAUGCAUUGAUGUUACAUAGCUCCUUAUGUCAUUGUUACUGCGUUGAAGUAUUAUUUUCAUGUCUUCUACUACUGGUCCAUAAUUCCAAAUAUAAAAAAUGAUUAUGACCACCAAAACAACAAUCUCAAAGAUUAAAGAGUCUAAGUAAAGCAAUUUGUAUAAUUAUGUGUGGCAGCUCAGGGGCGAAAGCCUAGCAUGGGCCGAUCCCAAUUGAUAUAAAAGGGUGGCGCUUAGGGGCGAAAGCCUAGCAUGGGCCGAUCCCAAUUUGUGUAAUUAUGAGGACCGCAUCCCAGGGGUUAAAAUGCCUAGCAUGGGUCAUGCUCUUCUACCACUGAUCAGUUGGUCAUUGUAUCACAUGCCUUAUAAAGAUCAUAACACACAGAAAGGUAAAGACAAGAAUGUAACAUACAUGAUCCCACAAGAGUUAACAAAGGUGGUCUUCUGUUCUGAUUUAUGCACACAUGUAUUGACACUCGGUUUCAUUCGAACUCUUAUUUAUAUAUAUUAAUGCCUUACAUAUUCAGUACAUUUUCUCGUACUGACGUCCCUCGUGGGGGUGGGGGGAUGCUGCAUUUCAUGCUCAACUAGUAGACCUCCUCAGUAGAAGCACACAACACUCAGCUACUUUUGGUGAGCUCUAGAAUGAUUCGGAGUUUUACUGAGUCCUUGGUAGAUUCAUUUUGGUAUUGUAUCGUAGUUAAGAGUAAGGCGGGGUUUGUCCCGACCUACUCUAAGAUUUUUUAUUUUUUAGAGGCUUUGUAGACUAAUGUUAUGGUUCAGUUGCAUCUUAACAAGUUAUGGUCUCAACGGCCAAGUCAUGUAUAUAAGUUUUAGGUUUACUUAUGUUGGUUCGUAUCCCUGCAUCGUACGUGAACUUGUCACAAGAUUGUCAUAGUUAUAUGCAUAGUUAAGCAUAGGUUACAUGCUGGUUCUCUCGGGCAUUUAGGGCAUCGGGUGCCUGUCCGUCUUAAUGGAAUGUGAGGCGUGACACCUUUCAACUAUGAUCUAAUUGAUUAUUUUAUAUCUUUUUAUGCAUGAAUUGUGAUAAUUACAUGUUUUAAAGUUGGAUUUACAUGAAUCCAUGUAUGAUCCAUGAUUUUUAGAAUUGAUCAUAUGAAGCUUUUGAAAGAGGAAAGAUGAAUUUAUCAAGAUAUGCAUGUUUUCUAUGAAAGUGAUGAAAAUAAUUUAAGGUUGCUUUGAUAGUGAAUCAUCGAUGUUGUUGUUGUUGUUAUUGUGAAAGGAUUUUAUCACAUAAAAUGAUUCAUAAGGUUAAAAUGUUUUCUCACCUAAGUUGAAUCAAGAUUAGAAGCUAUUCAAUGAAAUCUAGCUUGGAUUGGCUACUUGAUGUGCCCUCCCAUGGAUAAUAAGAUAAGUUAAGAUUAAUGACUAUUCCAUCGGAUUUAUGCUUACCACCAUCAGGAUAUUGAGAUAUAAACUAUUCCGUAGUUGAGUUCGGGUUGCUAGAAGAAAUCUCUCUAUCCCAUAACUAUGUGCCACCGUAGGUUUUCUUUGAUAAACAAUAUGUAGUGGAUCUAUGUAAGCUAGAAGAUCAUGAUUCUUACCUAGGCAAGUGGGGACAUCUUAUUUUUUGUGUGGGAUAGACACCAUAUUCCAUGCUAUAGCUCACAUGGUCUAUAUCAGUUAAUGGCAAACUUCCUACAAUAAUGAACUAAGGUUACUUUCUAAAAGUAUCUCAAAGAUGUUUUAAAGAUAUUUAGCUUGCAUUGACCAUGGUUUUGAUUUAUGUUUUCUAACAUAUUAUAUUAGGUUUGAGCUUGGUCAUUGCAUGUCAUGUAAAGUCCCUUUUUAGAAUGAUUUCAUAACUCUUAUACGUUACUAUCAUACUUGGUACAUUCAUAUACUAAUACAUAUUUUUGCCUACAUUGUUUCACUAAUGUAGGGUCCGAAGCUCCUACUUUCCAUACUUGUGGCUAAUGAUUUCACAUAGAUACCAAAGAUUGGUGAGUCCUCAUGUUUUGAGGACCGAGAUUCUUUUAUUGCUUCCAUGUCUUUUCUUUUGGGAUGUUGUAUGUGAUGUAUGUGUUACGUCCCAGUCACUCAUUAGACGUAAUAGAUGGCUUUGAGACUUAUGUUUAGACUUACACUACUUUUGUCAAACUCUUUUAUUGAAAUGCUACUCUUAAACUCUUUGGGUUUUCUAUAAUUUUAUAUGAUGUAUGUUAUGUGGUUUCUAUAAGGACUUUGAGGGUCUUAUUCACCAUGUCACGUCUACAGAGUACUUUGGGUCGUGACAAACUUGGUAUUCAGUGCACAAGGUUUGGAAAGGUUCUAGAAAAUUUCAUAUGCCAAGUAGAGUAGAGUCUUGUUCCUAAGUGUGAAGCGCCACACAUUUAUGAAUGAGAGACUAUAAGAUGUUUAGGAAACUCCAUUUGUUUCAUUACUCUUAAGAUGUGCAAUAGAGUUUAACUCUAUAAUGUCUCUCUCCUAAUCCUUAUCCGAUGUUUUUCAGGAUAUGACCACUCGAAGGGCAUAUUUUAUGUGGAAUGAGGGAGAGAAUGUGGAACGAGGUGCUCCUAAAUCUCCUAAAGAAUCUCCUCACGUUUCAGUCGAUCCUUUAGCUAAAGUAGCUAAUGCAAAAUUUAGGGCCGCUUUCCAAGUGUUAGCUCAAUUCAAUAGGGAGGCUGUGAUCUCCACGAACCCAAGUGUGGGUACAACGACAUUUCUAAUGCUCGAAUUACUUUAUAUUAUGUAUGAAUUGAUGAUUAAUUAUGGUUUUUAUGUUGAAAUCCCCAAGAACCCAUGAAAUCCCCAUAUUUUGAUCUUGUGAUGUGGGUUUGUGGAUGAAAGAGGAAUGUUAUUAGAUUAUGCAUGUAGUGAUUGGGUUACUUGAAUUAUGUUGAUAUUCAUGUCUAAUGUAGUGAAUUCUAGAUGUGUUGAUUUGAUAUGAGCUUUGACCCUUGAAAGGAAAAAUUAUGAUAUUAUGCAUGUUUAUGAAGUCCUUGUAUAUGCUUUAAGAACACUUUGAGAGUGAAGUGAAUAUGAUUAUGAUCUAGUUGUUGUGUUGUUGAAAGGUUAUUCUCAUAUACACACUUAUGUAUGAAUAUGAUAUGAUGUGAAAGGUUUUCUCACAAUAUGAAGAUUCUAAGGUUGAAAGGCUUUCUCACCUAUUGAAUCUAUAUGUAUACAUGGAUGGUGAAAGGUUAUUCUCACGCAUGAAUCUAAUGAGCUAUCUUAUGAAUUAAACAUGGAUUGAGUGUCAAGACAUUCUUCCACGAAUAUGAACAAAGUCAAGACUUAAUAUGUAGUUCGUGAGAAUUAAUGCUUAGCAUGGAGUAGAUAGUGAAUAUGAGAUGGAAGCUUUUACACUAGUUGAGUCCGGAUUCCCAAAAGGACCUUUUACACUAGUUGAGUCUGGGUUCCCAAAGUAUGUCUCAUGAGAUGGAGACCUUCUGGCCUUAGUUGAGUUCGAGUUUCUAGUAGCAAUAUUCUUAUCCCAUAAACUAUGUGCCCCCAUAGGUUAUUUAGCUAGUGGAUCCACCUAAGCUAAUAGUAUGGUUCUACCUUACGCAAGUAGGAAAACUCUUUUCGGUGUGGGUAACACUGGGGGUCUAUGUAUAGCUCACAUGGUCUCAUGUCGGUUAAGGCUUAUUCCCACAAUAAUAAGAAUAAGAAUAUGAAUUAUGAACUAUGGUUACUCAAGAAAAUUUUACAUGAGUCUUCAAGGUCUUAAAGGUGAUGAAUAUGAAUAAUGGCAUAGGUGAGAUUUAUGGGGUCUUAUUCAUGCAUUGCACAAGUAUGACUUGAGGGUAAUUAUGAAGUGUUUCUCUUAUGAUAUGAUGAUCUAUGUAUUGACUAUGCUUAUGACUUAUGAGUUUCCACUAUUUUCAUGAUGAUGUACAAACUUAGUAAAUUGCAUGCUUUCGAAUGAAAUGUCCCUUUUAGCAUGUUUUCAAAUGUUUUUAUGCAUGAGUAUCAUACGUAGUACAUUUUUCUGCUAACCCCUACUUUUCCUACAUUUUCCCAAGUGUAGGGUCCAAUUCUUGAGGUGAUCGUUCUAGUGGCUAGUGCUUGGAUUCUGCUAUCUUCCGAGCUUGUUGGUGAGUUCUCAUGGUUUGAGGAUGGGAUUUUUCUCAUGAUGUAGUUUUCCUUUAUGUAUUUCACUUUUGGGACAUGUUGUAUGGGCUAGGCCCUAUUUCAUUUAAGUUUUGUAAUAGAUGUCUAUAUUGAGACAAGUCUAGACUUCCGCUUUCUUUUAUGAAAAACUUUUAGGACUUGAAAUGUGUUUUACUCUUUACUGUUUUAUUCUUAUGUUAUGAUAUGCUAAUUGGCUUGCAUGGGGUUGUACAUGCGUUGUUACAUCUAGGGGGUACCCCUGAGUCGUGACAAACUUGGUAAUCUGAGCACGAGGUUUAGAAUGAUUCUAGGAUGAUGUCUCAUAAGCCACGUCUAGUAGAGUCCUGUUCAUAAUGUGAAGCGCACCACAUUUAUGAAUAAGAGGCUGCAAGAUGAUUAGGAAACUUUACUUCUUCAUUACUCUAAGUCGUGCCAUAGAGUUUAACUCUAUAAGAUUUCUCUCCUAAUCCUUCUCUUGUAUCUUCAGGAUAUGAAUACACGAAGGGCUAAUACUAGAAGGAUAGACAAUGACAAUGUGAAUCAAGGAGCUCCUCCUCAAGCUCAUCAAGUUCCUAUAGAUCCUUUGGUUGAGAAUAUGACCCAUGCAGAGUUUAGGUCGACUAUCUAAAUAUUGGCUCAAGCCGUGAUGGCUCAAGCCAAUAGAGAGCUUGUAGCUCUGGUGAAUCGUAAUGUGAAUUCGUCUGCUUCAAGGGUGAGGGAUUUUGCACAAAUGAACCCUCCGAAAUUUCAUGACUCCAAAGUGGAAGAGGAUCCUCAAAGGUUUAUCGAUGAGGCUUAUAAGGUACUUGAUAUUAUGGGGGUGACUUCGGAAGAGAAAGCGGAGUUAGCCGCCUACCAACUAAAAGAUGUGGCUCAAGUGUGGUACGAUCAGUGGAAGGGAGAGAGACCCAUAGGAGCGGGCCUGGUAGAAUAGGAAUUGUUUAAAUCGACAUUUCUUUAUAGGUUCUUCUUCCUCUAGUUAAGGGAGGCAAAGGUACAAGAGUUCAUCAACAUUUGUCAAGAAAGUAUGAGUGUUAAGGAGUAUGCUCUAAAGUUCACCCAACUCUCCAAAUAUUCUCCAACUAUGGUGGCGGACUCAAGGGCUAAGAUGAGUAGGUUUAUGUCGGGUAUGUCCGACUUGGUUGAAAAAGAGUGUCGUACGGCAAUGCUCCUCCAUGACAUGGAUAUAUCAAGGCUUAUGGUGUACACUCAACAAAUUGAGGAAUUAAAACUCAAGGAAAACACUAGGGAGGUAAAAAGGGCUAGGACCGGUGAUGGAAAUUUCACUAAUGCUAGAUCCGAUGUACAUGGUCAAUCUAUAACCCAACAAAGGCUUUCCGAUCAAGUUUUCCCCAAUACUCAUAGGUAUAAUCAAUAGAGGGUGUCUAACCCAAAACCUCAAGGAGGUAAUAGUAGUGGCUCUUAUGUGACUAGGCGGCCUAUUUGUGCAAAAUGUGGAAGGAAACAUGAUGGUACGUGCCUAAUUGGCACGGUUGGUUGCUUUGGGUGUGGAAAGAGUGGCCACAAGAUAAGAGAUCGUCCGAUGCUUAAGGUUCUAGGAAGAGAGGGCAAGCAAGCUCCUCCUAGUAGUUCGAACUCCAAUGCUGUAAAGCAAAACCAUUUCUAUGUACUCCGGUCUAGGGAUGACCAAGAGAGCUCUCCGGAUGAAGUCACUGGUAUGUUUUUAGUUUUCAUAUAGAUGUAAAUGUUUCAUUAGAUCUCGAUGUUACUUUUUAGACUUUGAUGUUAUUCUCGAUAGAAUUGGUUGCAUUCCUAGUAUGUUGCUAUGGAUUGAAGAACUCGUGUAGUCAUGCUUUAGUUCCCAAUUGAGUCUAUCCUAGAAUGGGAGGGGGAAAUCUUAUGUCUAGAGGUUAAUUGUUCCUUAUAUGAAGGUUAGAAGAAUGCUGACCAAAGAUUGCUUUUACGACAUAGUUUGGGUGAGGGAAAUAGAUUGUAAGUAUUGACCAACUCCAAGAGUUAGUUAUUUCUCUAAGAUUGAUUUUCGUUCGGGUUAUCACCAAUUGAGGGUGAAAAGGGGAUGAUAUUCCAAAGACGACUUCUAGAACCCGAUAUGAUUAUUAUGAGUUUUUGGUUAUAUCGUUUGGGAUUGACUUGAAAGAGGUGGUACUUAAGGAAUUAGUAUAGGCUUACUCCUAAGGGGGAGAUGAUGUGCUGAGAUAUCAAUGUCGUUGAGUGUUCUUGAUGUUCAUAAUUUGGGUUUGGUUGAAAUUCUCACCUUGAGAGGUGUAGUUAGUGGGGAAGUUUGGUCCCAGUUUUGUAGGCAUGAGAUCUUGAGUGGUGUUGGUAAGGUUGCUUAUGAACUAGAGUUGCUUAAUGAGUGGCACCGGUAUAUCCGGUUUUCCAUGUUUCUUGGAUAUAGGAGGGUGUUGGAGAUCCUACAUUAAUAGAUCCCUUAGAAGAGUUGGGAGUUAAUGAGAAUCUCCCUAAUUUAGAAAUACCGGUUGAGAUCUUAGACCGACGAGUUAAGAAAGAGAACAACAAGGAAGUUGCUUCCAUGAAAGAGUUAUGGAGUGAACUUUUAGUGAAGGUUUUAGUUGAGGGUGCUACUUGGGUGGCCGAGGGCCAAUAAGAUGUCCCGUUAUCCUCAUUCCUUUCCUUCUACUCCUACUCUAGCUUGAAACAAAUAGUUCCUCUUGAGUUUUCUUAUUUUGGGAGUCAUUUGUGUAUUUACAUGAUUUCCUUAUGUUAUGCAUGUUCUUAAUAAAUUCAUGUUUAGUAAGAAAGUGAGAUUUUAUGAUUGAUUUUCCUCAUGUUGUUGUGCAUUGAGUAAGAGUUUCCUAUAUGCUUCAUGAGAUAAAUUGUUGAUCAUGCUUAGUUGUGCUUUUUGGUAGUAUAUUGCAUAAAUGCUCUUUGAGAUUUUGUUGAGCAUGCUUUUAGUUUGGAGAAGGUAGUUCCUCUUAUGAAUAUGAGAAAUGUUGAGUUUUCAUGCAUAAUGGGUUGUUAAAUGUAGUUCCUACUUCCUUGUAAUGCAUUGAUUAUGUUUAAGUUGGAGUUGAUAUUUCCUCCUUUGAGUUGUGCAUUAUUUUGAUGUUGCAUGCAUGAUGAGCUGCUAGUCUUGAGUCUUUACUUUCGUAAGGUGUCUAGAUCGUCAUUCGAGGACGAAUGUUCCCAAGAGGGAGAUAUUGUAACACCUCGAAAAUUAGUAUGCUAAACUAGAGCUUAAACUGAGGGUUGGAGUCAUGAAUAUAACUCCCCGUACUUAAAAUAGAGGUUUUCGUGUUAGAACGUCAAGGUACCACUUUCUCAAGGACCAACUAGGGACCCUUGUGGAAGACCCCUAGAAAAGUGCCCUAAAUAGUGACCACGAAAGGACCCACGCCCCAUAGGUGGGGGUUCCGUGGUUGGCCAAAAACCUGCAGUCACCAAACCAUGCCCAACCAGUACGGACCGUGGGUCCAACCACGCCCCGUGGUCGAGGUCUCGUCGAUGGUGACCUGGAGGCAGUUAUGGGUAUUAAGUUUAGGGGCUUAAGGGUCUUUUCCGAUUUUAAUUAAUAUUACUUGGUGUCGUUUUAGCCUAACUUAGACCACCUAUAUAAGGAUUUUAGACCCCUAAAUUAAGUCAUUCACCUAAUUAUUUCUAAAACCCAAAACUAUUCCCUAAAUUUCAUCCUCUCCAAAUAUUCUCUCUCUAGAACUUCAAGGAGCAAGUUUUUCUUCUCAAAUUCAUUGGGUUUUAUUGCUAAGGUAUGGUAGCUCUUCGUUGUUGACACCCAAUUUUGAACCUCCACAAUAUAGAUUUAUUAUCAAGCUUCUUCAAUUUCACACGCUUUAAAAUAAUUAGUUUUAUAAAAUUCCAAAAAAGAAGAAGUUAUUUUAUGUAAUUUUGUUGCUUUUGGUUUUCUAAAAUAAUAUAUACGUCUUACAUAAUUAUGUAUAUAAUUAGUAUAUUUUAUGAAUUUUCAAAAAUCGUCUCAAAAAGAUUUUAGUUUUACUUAAAUAUUUGGUUAAUUAGUUUAGUUAUAUAAUAGUUAAUAUUUUUUGAUGUAAUUUGUUUACAAUUAAGGUAAUUAUUUUAUUUUGUUAAGAUUCAAAAGCUCGUUAAAUAAUUAAUAUUAAUUCGUCUUAUUUAAAUUUUAGUCAAAUUCUCUAAAUUCAAUUCAAUUUGGCUACAUCUAACUCAUAUGGCCAUUUCGUUAUUACUUAUCUAGCCAAUUUUGGAUUCUAAUCUUACAACCCAAGAAUUGACACUUUGGGCCAAAACCAACCCAAUUCCAAUUUUCCCUUCAAAUUUCAGCAGCCCACUCCCUCACACCCAUUAUGAGCCAAUUCUUUAAAAUACAAAAACCGGCCCAAUUCUAAUACAAAGAAAACCAUUUCAUUUAUACACAACAAUACAGAAACCCAGCAACGCAUACCAGGCCAGUCGACCCCAACCCUUUUACGCAUCUUUUUCCAGUCGUACAACAACAACCAGACGACCCUUGUACUAUUCUUCAUGCGAAGAGCAACCUAGAAACUUCAAGGAAAUCGCGAGCAUCAGACCAGGCUGUGAGAAAAGAAUAGCUUAGCUUAGAGAUAGAUGAUAAGAAUCAACAAAGUCAACACACAAAAACAUUUUGGAAAUAGACUGUGAGAUUGUGAAGGUUUGAGGUGAUAUUCCUUUGAUUUUGUUUUUGUUUUCUCACAAUCUUGUUGGAGUUCUCACAGUCGUAAUCCGGUGGUGGAGUCUCGUAUCUGUCCCAGUUCAUUGCCUAAGAAAAGGUUACAACCUCGCUCCUAUCUCGUUUCCUUUAGGUGUCUUGAAUGUUCUUAUCUUUUAAGCUAUGUUUGAAUAUGAGCUCAAUAUCGACACUGCUCUCUUUAAAUACUAGAUUGUGAUGUCUUCAUUCUAUUAUGCUCGGAAAGUGUGGUUUCCUAUGUUGAAUAUUUGACUGCUUUUCUAUUCUCUAUUUUUUAUUUGCUUCACAAUGGUUGGCUGUUCUCUCAUCUACCCUAUGGCCUUACCUUUCUUCCACUAUAUAUGUGAUUAAUUUUGAUAUUUUAUUGGUUGUUUGACAACCAAGGCCAGUUGCCAGAUUUUUUUUCUUAGUAUCGUGUUGCUAUUUAUUCCAUCUCGCAUCUUAUGAGUUGAAUCUUUUUUCCUUAGGUUCAUAUGGUUCUAUUUUGAAUUUUCUGCCAUGCUUGUGUGUUGAUCCUCUGGUUCGUUAUUUGCAUUUUUGAGAGCAUAUGUCUUGAUCAUUUUACUCUAAAAAGAAGGGGUUAGAGUCGGUAGCAACUUUCUAUCAAUGAUUGGCGGUAUUUGGAUUAUAUCUUCGUUCCAAUUUUGAGCCAUGAUUACUCUUUUCUUGCUUCUAUAUUUAUUAUGAAAGUUAAAUGGUUUAUCAUGUAGUUAUUUAGAUUUUGACUAAAUCCUAUUUGCUCUACUUGUUCAUAUGAUCUUUCUUAGAGUUCAAAGGUAACAUGUUUGUUUCUUUUAAUUUACUUGAGAUACUGUUAUAAGUUUAGUUAGUAGCUUAAGUUUAUUUUGUUUAGGAUCACAUUCAUCCUUUAGAGUUAUUUUUAUAUGUUAUUUUGCUAUAUUAAGAUUGAAGCUUAGAUGAUCUUAAUUCCAUUUUAUGCUAGCUGAUCACUAAUUUGUCUCUUCUGAUAACUUGUUUGUUGAUCAUUUAAGUCAUGACCCCCUAUCGAGUCAAUUCCCUAAAUGGUCACCCAAGUUUAGGGAAUUGCCAUGAAAUAUCAUGUAUAUUUUAUUUAUGACCAAAAUAUCAUUCAACUAUCACUAUUUUCCUCCAAAUAUACUUGACACUUUAAAAGUCUCAGUCUCUCCUAGUUGACAUGACAUGUCAUUAAAGUCUUUUUUUAAUAAUAGACUAAUUUGAUUCAUUAAAUCCAUUUAACUAAAAUAAUGAUCAUAUUAUUUAAAAAAUAUAUAUAUAUAGUAGUUUAUUAAGAAUAAAUCUUCGUACUUAUAUAAUCUUUUAUUAUAAUUAAACUUUUAUUUUUUUAUGUAAUAAAGAAUAAGUUUUUAAAACGCAUUAUAAUAUCAUCAAUUUUGAAUACUUAUUAACAUAUACAUUAAAAAAUAUCGAUAAACAAAUCACUCAUGAAUGUUAACUUACACAAUUAAUCAUAAAUUUUAUAAUGAAUCAAGAAUAUUAAAUGUCAAUUAACUACUACAAUAAAAUCAAUUAUGUAUUUUGAAAUUCAUGCUUACAAUAUUUUUUUCUUGAAACAAAAUAGAUGUGAAUAAUAUUAUUACUAUUUUUUAUCCAAAAAAACAAAUAAAUAUUAAAUAUCUCAACAGUCUCCUUCUAUUCUAGUUGAUAUAUCAUGUUAUUAAAUCACCAUUUAAAAAAUAAUAGACCUAUUUAAUUCAUCAAACUUAUGUCUCUAAAAAAAACAAAUAUAUAAAUUACAUGAGAAUUUAUGAAGAUUAUAAAAAUAAUUAAAAAAACUAGUUCCUUACAUUUUUUUACGAAACAAAAUUCAAUGAAAAAAUCUUUGUAUGCAAUAAUUACUUGAUAAUUUUCAAAAUCCCUAAGUAAAUUAUUUGAAAAUUUUAAGCAAUUUUUUUUUAUAAAAGUAUUCAAAUAAAUUUGUAAGGUUAACAAAAAAGUUAGUAAGAAAGAGAAAAAUAUUAUUUGAUUUUUUUUAAAUUUAAUUUUUUAUUUUUAUUCUUUUAUUGUUGUAUUAUAUUAUAUUUUAACUUAUCAUACAAUUAAACACCAAUAUAUAUUCUUAUCUCUUCCCAAAUUCAUGAAAUACAAGUAAUAAUUAAUUGAAUUGCCUAAUAUUAUAUGAGAUUAAUAUACUGAUAAAUAAAGAUCAAAAUUUUAUUUUCUAAUAUAAAUAUUAUUCACUUUCUAUUUUCUUUACUAAAAAAGAUAUUGUAAGUAUGGAUUUCAAAGUACCCAAUUAAUUAUUUUUUAAUAGUUAAUUGAACUUUAUUAUUAUUGAUCCAUUAUAUAAUAUAUGAUUAAUUGAUGUAGGUUGACAUUCAAGAGUGAUUUAUAUAUCAAUAUUUUUUUGAAUAUAUGUGUUUAUAAGUAUAUUCAAAAUUGAUGACAUUAUAGUAAGUUUUAAAAAAACCAUUCUUCAUAGCAUAAAAAAAUAAAAUAAUUUAAUUAUGAUAAAAGAUUCUUAAGCAUGAAAAUUUCUUCAUAAUAAACUAAUAUAUACCUUUUAGAAAACAAUAAGAUCAUUAUUUUAGUUAAAUGAAUUUGAUGAAUUAAAUAAGUCUAUUCUUAAAAAAAAAGCUUCAAUGACGUGGCAUGCCAACUAGGAGAGAGUAAAACUUUUGAAGUCUUAAGUAUAUUUGGAGGAAAAUAAUGAUAGUUGAGUGAUAUUUUGGUCAUAAAUGAUAUUUCAAGGCAAUUCCCUAAACUUGGGUGACCAUUUAGGGAAUUGACUCCCCCCUAUCCUAAGGCCCUGCCUUCGUCCUUGCAUUUUGAGUCGAGUCAAAACCCGAUUUUCUUCCCUAUUGAGUCAACCUCAUCAAAGGGAGCUGAAACGUUGAAGGGAAGCAUCUACUGGUCCAAAGAAAGCUGAAAAAGGGACGAUAUGCAUGCCGAUAUACACUGUGAUACACUGUUGUAUACAAUCAUUAAACAGUGAUAUACAUGUCAUAAAAUAUAGCGAUACAGGUCUGAAGACAAAAAUAUAGGCCAAAAAGCUAAUAUACAGGAACAAUGCAGAAAUACGGACACAAAAUGCAGGGAGUAUACACUGGUAUACACUCGGUGUAUGCAAAUUCUCAAAGGCCGAAAAUAGUAUCAAAAGCCUCAAAAAAAUUCCAGCAAGUCUUUGAAACAAAUGGGCCAAAGCCCGUCCUUUGGGGCAAUUGCACUGAUAGUCUUAGGACAGGUGGACCAAGGGUUCAAAAGACCCAAAUUUAAUAUUUCUUUCUUUACUCUUAUUUAUUUAUUGUUUGUAUUAAUUAAUUUUUUAUUUGAUUUGGUUUUUAUUUAAUUAAAUUCCCAAAAGAAAGUCAUUUCUUCUUUUAUGUUCAACUUAAAA
rnacentral:lncRNA from 1 species